CCACUGGCAGCCGAACGUGGCUUUUCAAGUGAAGUGUGAAUGGGAAUUGAUGAUGUUGUGGUAAUGUUUGAUGGUAGAUGAAGCGUAAAUGGAAGUAUUUAUGAAGAAAUUUGUAAGAAUGUGUGUGUGAGAGAGAGAGAGAUAAGAUUCAAUAGAGAGCAAGAGAGGCAAUGGGUACUGAAAUUUAAGUAAUCCCCCCCACCCCAUUACAAGAAAAUCAAGGAGCCAAAUCAAAUAAUAAUAGCUUGAAAUGUUAUUACGAAGCUUUGGGGAGGAGUUUUGUGUGGGUCUCAAGUUAAUUUUGGCUCGUGUUUUAGGCAGGUUGAUAUCACAUGGAUCAGGGGUGGAGGUUUGUCCAAUAAAAACUUGACUAAGAUAUGUACCGUAGUGAAUUUAUGUGACAAUUUCAUUUGGUAUUUUGGACAAAACUAUUUAUUUUUCUUACAAAAUUGGACAAAACUAAUAUACA
rnacentral:lncRNA from 1 species